UACGAAGGGGGCUAGCGUUGUUCGGAUUUACUGGGCGUAAAGCGCGUGUAGGCGGGCUGGAAAGUUGGGGGUGAAAUCCCGAGGCUCAACCUCGGAACUGCCUCCAAAACUUCCAGCCUGGAGCAAGAUAGAGGCAAGUGGAAUUGCGAGUGUAGAGGUGAAAUUCGUAGAUAUUCGCAAGAACACCAGUGGCGAAGGCGGCUCACUGGCCCGAUACUGACGCUGAGGCACGAAAGCGUGGGGAGCAAACAGG
rnacentral:rRNA from 1 species